CCUGGCUCAGGACGAACGCUGGCGGCGUGCUUAACACAUGCAAGUCGAACGGUAAGGCUCCAGCUUGCUGGGGUACACGAGUGGCGAACGGGUGAGUAACACGUGGGUGACCUGCCCUGCACUUCGGGAUAAGCCUGGGAAACUGGGUCUAAUACCGGAUAGGACCGCACCGUGAGGGUGUGGUGGAAAGUUUUUUCGGUGUGGGAUGGGCCCGCGGCCUAUCAGCUUGUUGGUGGGGUAAUGGCCUACCAAGGCGGCGACGGGUAGCCGGCCUGAGAGGGUGGACGGCCACAUUGGGACUGAGACACGGCCCAGACUCCUACGGGAGGCAGCAGUGGGGAAUAUUGCACAAUGGGCGGAAGCCUGAUGCAGCGACGCCGCGUGGGGGAUGACGGCCUUCGGGUUGUAAACUCCUUUCACCAUCGACGAAGGGUUUCUGACGGUAGAUGGAGAAGAAGCACCGGCUAACUACGUGCCAGCAGCCGCGGUAAUACGUAGGGUGCGAGCGUUGUCCGGAAUUACUGGGCGUAAAGAGCUCGUAGGUGGUUUGUCGCGUCGUCUGUGAAAUUCCGGGGCUUAACUCCGGGCGUGCAGGCGAUACGGGCAUAACUUGAGUACUGUAGGGGAGACUGGAAUUCCUGGUGUAGCGGUGAAAUGCGCAGAUAUCAGGAGGAACACCGGUGGCGAAGGCGGGUCUCUGGGCAGUAACUGACGCUGAGGAGCGAAAGCAUGGGGAGCGAACAGGAUUAGAUACCCUGGUAGUCCAUGCCGUAAACGGUGGGCGCUAGGUGUGGGUUUCCUUCCACGGGAUCCGUGCCGUAGCUAACGCAUUAAGCGCCCCGCCUGGGGAGUACGGCCGCAAGGCUAAAACUCAAAGGAAUUGACGGGGGCCCGCACAAGCGGCGGAGCAUGUGGAUUAAUUCGAUGCAACGCGAAGAACCUUACCUGGGCUUGACAUAUACAGGAUCGCGCCAGAGAUGGUGUUUCCCUUGUGGCUUGUAUACAGGUGGUGCAUGGUUGUCGUCAGCUCGUGUCGUGAGAUGUUGGGUUAAGUCCCGCAACGAGCGCAACCCUUGUCUUAUGUUGCCAGCACGUUGUGGUGGGGACUCGUAAGAAACUGCCGGGGUUAACUCGGAGGAAGGUGGGGAUGACGUCAAAUCAUCAUGCCCCUUAUGUCCAGGGCUUCACACAUGCUACAAUGGUCGGUACAGUGGGUUGCCAGUCCGUGAGGGCGAGCUAAUCCCGCAAAGCCGGUCUCAGUUCGGAUCGGGGUCUGCAACUCGACCCCGUGAAGUCGGAGUCGCUAGUAAUCGCAGAUCAGCAACGCUGCGGUGAAUACGUUCCCGGGCCUUGUACACACCGCCCGUCACGUCAUGAAAGUCGGUAACACCCGAAGCCAGUGGCCUAACACAUUUU
rnacentral:rRNA from 1 species